rnacentral:tRNA from 1 species
UGCCAGAUCAUCUAACGGUAGGAUACAUGGCUCUGGACCAUGGCAUCUAGGUUCAAAUCCUAGUCUGGCAGCCA